rnacentral:rRNA from 1 species
GACGAACGCUGGCGGCGUGCUUAACACAUGCAAGUCGAACGGAAAGGCCCUGCUUUUGUGGGGUGCUCGAGUGGCGAACGGGUGAGUAACACGUGAGUAACCUGCCCUUGACUUUGGGAUAACUUCAGGAAACUGGGGCUAAUACCGGAUAGGAGCUCCUGCUGCAUGGUGGGGGUUGGAAAGUUUCGGCGGUUGGGGAUGGACUCGCGGCUUAUCAGCUUGUUGGUGGGGUAGUGGCUUACCAAGGCUUUGACGGGUAGCCGGCCUGAGAGGGUGACCGGCCACAUUGGUACUGAGAUACGGCCCAGACUCCUACGGGAGGCAGCAGUGGGGAAUAUUGCACAAUGGGCGGAAGCCUGAUGCAGCCACGCCGCGUGCGGGAUGACGGCCUUCGGGUUGUAUACCGCUUUCGCCUGUGACGAAGCGUGAGUGACGGUAAUGGGUAAAGAAGCACCGGCUAACUACGUG